rnacentral:rRNA from 1 species
ACUCCUACGGGAGGCAGCAGUGGGGAAUAUUGCACAAUGGGCGCAAGCCUGAUGCAGCCAUGCCGCGUGUGUGAAGAAGGCCUUCGGGUUGUAAAGCACUUUCAGUCGUGAGGAAGGGUAGUUGUAGUUAAUGAGCUGCUAUUAUUUGACGUUAGCGACAGAAGAAGCACCGGCUAACUCCGUGCCAGCAGCCGCGGUAAUACGGAGGGUGCGAGCGUUAAUCGGAAUUACUGGGCGUAAAGCGCAUGCAGGUGGUUUGUUAAGUCAGAUGUGAAAGCCCGGGGCUCAA